rnacentral:rRNA from 1 species
UCCUGAACUCCGAACUCCAAUCCAGGAAGAAUAACCGCUUAACCUAAACAUAACCAUAAACCGAAGAA